GUGUGUGUGUGUGUGUGUGUGUGUGUGUGUGUGUAGGGUGUGAUUAUCAAAGAACUACAAGACAAACCGCUUUUUAAACCCUGUUGUGUAGUUCACGUGUCUUGCCUUGACUAAUAAAUUGACUAACUGGGCCUUUA